GACGAACCGUGCGAACGUUGUUCGGAAUCACUGGGCUUAAAGGGUGCGCAGGCGGCUCGCCAAGCCCGAAGUGAAAUGCCCCGGCCCAACCGGGGACGUGCUUCGGGGACUGGCGGGCUCGGGCGAGCUAGGGGUCCGUGGAACUCCCGGUGGAGCGGUGAAAUGUGUUGAGAUCGGGAGGAACGCCGGUGGCGAAAGCGACGGACUGGGGCUUUGCCGACGCUCAUGCACGAAAGCCAGGGGAGCGAACGGG
rnacentral:rRNA from 1 species